CGGACGGGUGAGUAACGCGUGGGAAUCUACCUUAUAGUUGGGGAUAGCCCGGAGAAAUCCGGAUUAAUACCGAAUACGAUCUACGGAUGAAAAGGUGCCUCUUCUUGAAAGCACUUGCUAUGAGAUGAGCCCGCGUUAGAUUAGUUUGUUGGUGGGGUAAAGGCCUACCAAGACUACGAUCUAUAGCUGGUUUGAGAGGAUGAUCAGCCACAUUGGGACUGAGACACGGCCCAGACUCCUACGGGAGGCAGCAGUGGGGAAUAUUGGACAAUGGGCGCAAGCCUGAUCCAGCAAUACCGCGUGUGUGAAGAAGGCCUUAGGGUUGUAAAGCACUUUUAUGUAGGAAGAAGGUAUGUAUGUUAAUAGCAUAUGUAAUUGACGGUACUACAAGAAUAAGCACCGGCUAACUCCGUGCCAGCAGCCGCGGUAAUACGGAGGGUGCGAGCGUUAAUCGGAAUUACUGGGCGUAAAGGGUACGUAGGCGGCUUAAUAAGUCAGAUGUGAAAUCCCCGGGCUUAACCUGGGAACUGCAUUUGAAACUGUUUAGCUAGAGUGAGUGAGAGGUUAGUGGAAUUCAAGGCGUAGCGGUGAAAUGCGUAGAGGUCUUGAGGAACAUCAGUGGCGAA
rnacentral:rRNA from 1 species